rnacentral:lncRNA from 1 species
UGAAUUAUAUCUAUGAAUGGUGGGCUACGGUGGAAAAUUGCCCAAAAUAUCAGCGCUCAGAUUAACCAGAAAAAAAAAUGCAGGACUCACAGACUCAGCACAGAUCAGCUAAACCCCCUUCUCUUUUUUGCUCUUCUUUUCGUGAUCUUACCUCAGUUUCAGCUGAUGCCGCAAAGAAAGGACCAAACCAAAGCUCGAUCAUCGUGCAGACACCGAGAGUCAACUGCAGCAGAAACUGAGAUCUACUUCAAGAAAAACAAGAAAAGGGGGACGUGGAAUUAUGGAAGGAACAGAGAAGUUGGGGGUGCUUCAAGAGGCUGAUCUUGAGGCGGCUUGAUCGGAGGAUUGAAGGCUGCGAGGGGGGCUUGGGAAGAGGAAAGUUCCGGCAAAUGAGACGCGGAGCAAUGCGGUCGGCAGCGACCUCAAGAUCAG